ACAUUAUCGGGAGCAGGGUCUUCCAUAAUGU
rfam:Scleropages formosus scaffold2790, whole genome shotgun sequence.